CAAUAGCGUAUAUUAAAGUUGUUGCAGUUAAAAAGCUCGUAGUUGAAUUUUUGCUUGCCGCCGAUGUCGGAACUUCCGUACGUUCGGCGGCGUGCAUCCUUGGGUGGAACCUGUGUGGCAUUAGGUUGUCGUGCAGGGGAUGCUCAUCGUUUACUGUGAAAAAAUUAGAGUGUUAAAAGCAGGCUUACGCCGUUGAAUAUAUUAGCAUGGAAUAAUAAGAUAGGACCUUGGUACUAUUUUGUUGGUUUGCGCACCGAGGUAAUGAUUAACAGGGACAGUUGGGGGUAUUCGUAUUCCAUUGUCAGAGGUGAAAUUCUUGGAUUUCUGGAAGACGAACUACUGCGAAAGCAUUUACCAAGGAUGUUUUCAUUAA
rnacentral:rRNA from 1 species